GCGAGUGAAGCGGCAAAAGCUCAAAUUUGAAAUCUGGCACCUUCGGUGUCCGAGUUGUAAUUUGAAGAUUGUAACCUUGGGGUUGGCUCUUGUCUAUGUUUCUUGGAACAGGACGUCACAGAGGGUGAGAAUCCCGUGCGAUGAGAUGCCCAAUCCUAUGUAAGGUGCUUUCGAAGAGUCGAGUUGUUUGGGAAUGCAGCUCUAAGUGGGUGGUAAAUUCCAUCUAAAGCUAAAUAUUGGCGAGAGACCGAUAGCGAACAAGUACAGUGAUGGAAAGAUGAAAAGAACUUUGAAAAGAGAGUGAAAAAGUACGUGAAAUUGUUGAAAGGGAAGGGUUUGAGAUCAGACUCGAUAUUUUGUGAGCCUUGCCUUCGUGGCGGGGUGACCCGCAGCUUAUCGGGCCAGCAUCGGUUUGGGCGGUAGGAUAAUGGCGUAGGAAUGUGACUUUGCUUCGGUGAAGUGUUAUAGCCUGCGUUGAUGCUGCCUGCCUAGACCGAGGACUGCGAUUUUAUCAAGGAUGCUGGCAUAAUGAUCCCAAACCGCCC
rnacentral:rRNA from 1 species